rnacentral:rRNA from 1 species
UAAGGCCCGAAAACUACUACCCCACAGUUUAAAACUCAGAGGACUUGGGGGUUCUUUAUAUCCAUCUAGAGGAGCCUGUUCUAUAAUCAAUAAACCCCGCUCUACCUCACCACUUCUUGCUAAUUCAACCUAUAUACCGCCUUCUUCAGCAAACCCUAAAAAGGCACUAAAGUAAGCACAACAACAAGCAUAAAAACGGUAGGUCAAGGUGUAACCAAUGAGGUGGGAAGAGAUGGGCUACUUUUUCUUUUCAAAAAACAUUACGAACCCCUUUAUGAAAUUGAAGGACAAAGGAGGAUUUAGUAGUAAAUUAAGAGUAGAGAGCUUAAUUGAAUAGAGCAAUGAAGUACGCACACACCGCCCGUCACCCUA